rnacentral:tRNA from 1 species
GGAGAGGUGUCCGAGUGGUUUAAGGAGCACGCCUGGAAAGCGUGUAGGUGGUCAACGCUGCCUCGCGGGUUCGAAUCCCGCUCUCUCCGCCA